UACCAGCACCCCGAGUGGUCGGGACGUUUAUUGGGCCUAAAGCAUCCGUAGCCGGUUCUACAAGUCUUCCGUUAAAUCCACCUGCUUAACAGAUGGGCUGCGGAAGAUACUAUAGAGCUAGGAGGCGGGAGAGGCAAGCGGUACUCGAUGGGUAGGGGUAAAAUCCGUUGAUCCAUUGAAGACCACCAGUGGCGAAGGCGGCUUGCCAGAACGCGCUCGACGGUGAGGGGUGAAAGCUGGGGGAGCAAACCGG
rnacentral:rRNA from 1 species